UACGAAGGGGGCUAGCGUUGCUCGGAUUGACUGGGCGUAAAGGGCGCGUAGGCGGUUCGUACAGUCAGACGUGAAAUUCCUGGGCUCAACCUGGGGGCUGCGUUUGAUACGUGCGGACUUGAGUGCGGAAGAGGGUCGUGGAAUUCCCGGUGUAGAGGUGAAAUUCGUAGAUAUCGGGAGGAACACCAGUGGCGAAGGCGGCGACCUGGACCGAUACUGACGCUGAUGUGCGAAAGCGUGGGGAGCAAACAGG
rnacentral:rRNA from 1 species